GUGCGGCAUCCUGAGAUACAGUAUUCUAGAUAUAAUUGUGACAGAGAUAAGAACAGCAAAUCAAGUACAUCAAUUAAAAGUAGCAUGACAACUGGUAACAUCCUAUCAUUCAGCAAUACAUCAUCAUCCAUUAAGAAUCACUCAUGGAAAGGAUUCCUUCAUUAACAUGAACACUCACUUUGAUCACUUUUUCAUACUGCAUAGCAAAAUUAAUUGUAAUGUCUAGAGAGUUUUACUGCAUCAAAUUAGACGCUCAAUUACAUGUA